rnacentral:rRNA from 1 species
GCAUUCUUCGGAAUGAGUGGCGCACGGCUGAGGAACACGUGACUAACCUACCCCGGUGUGGGGGAUAACGGGUCGAAAGACUCGCUAAUCCCGCAUACGAUCCGCCUCGGCGGAGGAAAGCCGUAAGGCGCACUGGGCGGGGGUCGCGUCCCAUUAGAUAGUUGGUGUGGUAAUGGCGCACCAAGUCGAUGAUGGGUCUCUGGUCUGAGAGGACGACCAGACAGAUUGGGACUGAGACACGGCCCAAACUCCUACGGGGGGCAGCAGCAAGGAAUUUUCGGCAAUGGGCGCAAGCCUGACCGAGCAACGCCGCGUGGAGGAUGACGGCUCUUGGGUUGUAAACUCCUUUUGGGGGGGACGAUAAUGACGGUACCCUCCGAAUCAGGCCCGGCUAACUACGUGCCAGCAGCCGCGGUAAUACGUAGGGGCCAAGCGUUGUCCGGAAUUACUGGGCGUAAAGCGUGGGUAGGUGGUCGGUGAUGUGCCGCGUGAAAGCGCCGGAGUAAUGCCGGCGAGGUCGCGGUAGACACACGGACUCGAGGCUCGCAGAGGAACGUGGAAUUCCCGGUGUAGUGGUGAAAUGCGUAGAUAUCGGGAGGAACACCAGUGGCGCAAGCGGCGUUCUGGGCGAGACCUGACACUGAGCCACGACGGCGUGGGGAGCAAACAGGAUUAGAUACCCUGGUAGUCCACGCAGUAAACGAUGCAUACCAGGUGUGGGAUGGCGUUCGCGUCGUUCCGUGCCGCAGCUUACGCGAUGAGUAUGCCGCCUGGGGACUACGAGCGCAAGCU